rnacentral:rRNA from 1 species
CCUACGGGUGGCAGCAGUGGGGAAUAUUGGACAAUGGGCGAAAGCCUGAUCCAGCCAUGCCGCGUGUGUGAAGAAGGCCUUCGGGUUGUAAAGCACUUUCAGUGGGGAAGAAAGCCUUGGGGCUAAUACCCUCGAGGAAGGACAUCACCCACAGAAGAAGCACCGGCUAACUCCGUGCCAGCAGCCGCGGUAAUACGGAGGGUGCGAGCGUUAAUCGGAAUUACUGGGCGUAAAGCGCGCGUAGGCGGUCUGAUAAGCCGGUUGUGAAAGCCCCGGGCUCAACCUGGGAACGGCAUCCGGAACUGUCAGGCUAGAGUGCAGGAGAGGAAGGUAGAAUUCCCGGUGUAGCGGUGAAAUGCGGAGAGAUCGGGAGGAAUACCAGUGGCGAAGGCGGCCUUCUGGACUGACACUGACGCUGAGGUGCGAAAGCGUGGGUAGCAAACAGGAUUAGAUACCCCAGUAGUC